rnacentral:rRNA from 1 species
AAUCAACGCUGGCGGCGUGCCUAACACAUGCAAGUCGAACGCGAAAGUCCCGCAAGGGAUGAGUAGAGUGGCAAACGGGUGAGUAACACGUGGAUGACCUGCCUUCGGAGUGGGGGAUAACGUCCCGAAAGGGACGCUAAUACCGCAUAACAUCCUGCCCUUGAACAGGUGGUGAUCAAAGCCGGGGACCCGCAAGGGCCUGGCGCUGGAAGAGGGGCCCGCGUCUGAUUAGCUAGNGGUGGGUAACGGCUCACCAAGGCAACGAUCAGUAUCCGGCCUGAGAGGGCGGACGGACACACUGGGACUGAGACACGGCCCAGACUCCUACGGGAGCAGCAGUGGGGAAUUGUUCGCAAUGGGCGCAAGCCUGACGACGCAACGCCGCGUGGAGGAUGAAG